rnacentral:antisense_RNA from 1 species
AUAGUUACUUGGGACAACAGUUUUAGCAGGGCUCUCUCCUUUCCUGAUCUCUGUGUUAAGCUGCCUGCCUCAUUUGAUAUCACAUCCAAAUUAUCAGCUGAUUGCUCUGUUGUUUUGGACAAUGCCCUGGGGCAUACCAAAAUGUGUCUGGAAUUGGUGGGUUCUUGGUCUUACUGACUUUAAGAAUAAAGUUGCAGACUUUUGUGGUGAUCCACUCUACCUCAUAUUGUCUUAUAAUGGCCAUCCAGUUUAUCCUAGAGCCCUUGUAUGACACAUGCCUAUUGGAGCAUAGGAAUGCCAAUAUUUUACCUCUUGGGUACUUUCUGUGUAGAAGAUUCAUAACAAGAACAAUGCUUAUUCUGCAAUUCUUUAUAUAAAGCUCCAGAGGGAAGUGAGAAGGAUGUUCACUUGCUGGUGAGAGAAGGAGCUGGUUCCAUCCAUUAUGCAGUCCCCUGGGAGCGCUAAAUGCAACUUUAUCUCAACGGGGAGUGGACGAUGAGCAGGACGUCGCUAGAGGGAAAGAGCCUCACUUCCCGUUUCCUUUGGCAGCGCCCUUUUCCCGACCUAAGGGAGCAGACCUUCGUUGGUUGGCGUGAGGACUGGCGGGAGAGGUUUUGUGCGAGGAUCCGCACUGUCUGGGGUGAACGCUCCUCACCUUUGACCUGAACCGCCACCUUCCCAUCCUCCACUUCUGGAGAGCGCGCCUGAUAGCUGCUGCCCACCUGGGCACUGACUUCCUCCUUCCAACGGGGUGCGGAGAAAGCACAAAGGAAGUAGACCAAGGAGACUGAAGAUGGUUAUGAAGACUGUGCAUCUCUGAGGACAUCUUAAACAAAGAUGACCCAAACCUUUGAUCUUCAAAUAGUCGAUGUGAACUGCUUAACAAAAUGCCCUGGGAAAACUCUGUCUGAAACAAGCAGCUUGGGGGUUUGAUUUCAUUAGUUACUGGACAAGAACUGGAAUGGAGUGAAAAAUCUUCAUUCAUUUCUUGGUCAGAUGGAGAGAGGAGAAAAAAAGAAGUGGGUUUCCAUUCACUUCCAUUUUCUAACUGAUCAUUAGUUAGAGAACCUUUGGAAAGGUUUAGCUCAGUUUUUUCUUCCAACUUAUCAGGUUCCUCAAGAAAUUCACUGCCUUGAGAUGACUUUGAUAACCCAUCCAAAUCCAGUGACUUAAAACCAUUAUUACAAGGGCUCUUGCUGUUGUCUGACUCUGACAUCAUUGAAUCCAAUUCAGAGAUUUUGUCAAGGUAAGCAGCAUCCAUUGAUGCUUCACUGGAUGUUCUUGUCCGGUUCAUUUCAAAAGAGCGAAUAGAAUUCAACCUUUUGGAUACACAUGAGCCUGAUUUCUCACUCAAUUUUGAAGAUAUUUCUCCAACAGAAUUUGCUAUCGUGUUCCCCUCUGAACUUUCAAAAUCUAAGUUUUGGGCAUAGCUUGUGGAACAACAGUCCCAAAAUGCUGUCUUUGGGGAAGAAAAACAUUCUGAUUUCUUUUCAUUUUCACUUCUACUUAUAUCAUCUUCUGAAGAAUCUUUAUUAGAAACAUUUGAAGAAUCACAAAAAUCAUCAAACACCAAUUUUCUGAGAUGGUUUGAGUGCUUUUUGGAACCUCCUGCUUGGACCACAGGGCUCUCUCUAUUUUCUGGAGUACUGAGCUGAAGGCAACUAAGGGACAAAGGAGUACAAGGAGCUGGAAGAUCAUAAAGUUCUUCAUCUUUGUAGGGUACACAAUCACUUGGUUUAUUCCCCCAUUCUCUUUCCAAAUAAGUAUCCAUACUUGUAUCUGUCACAUCUAACAUUACUUCUACCUGUUCUUGAUAUAGGUCUUUGUUCUUAGAACAGUUAAGUUCUGCUUUGCUGGUACUUUCCUGCCUUGCAGAACUGGUGUCACACAGUCUGCUGCUGGAAGGCUUUGCUAGGUGAGAAGAACUGGAGGUGGAUGAGCUAGGCUGCUUUCUGGCACUAUCACCUUGAUUCUUUGAUGCCACAUCCUCCUCACUGCCUUUGCUCCCUUUGCCAUCUGCAGGAAGUGCUGUCUGGCAAAUGGAAUUCAUAGCUUCCUUCUCUUCACUUGAAUUUUUUAGCUGUGCAACUUGAGAUUCUAGUUCCUCUAUAUACUUAUCACUUCGUUCCAGGGCUUUCUUGAGGCGACUGGUUUCACGCUCAUACUGUUCUACUUUGGACUGAAGAGCAGCAACUGCAAACCUUCCAAACCUACAAAGAAUGGAAAGACAGUUAAUCUUAUAACUCAAGCUUUUUUCUUUUCAAGGUUUGAGAGUGCAAACUGUCCCAGGCUAUUCUAAUUUCACCUAACAGUGACAUUUCAGACCACUCAAUGAGUAGGGCAAAGGCCAGAUAUAUAUUUUCAAAAAAUGGUUUCCCCACUUACAUAAUAAUAAACAUAUGAUAAUAAUAGC